rnacentral:rRNA from 1 species
GAUGAACGCUGGCGGCGUGCCUAAUACAUGCAAGUCGAGCGAACAGACGAGGAGCUUGCUCCUCUGACGUUAGCGGCGGACGGGUGAGUAACACGUGGAUAACCUACCUAUAAGACUGGGAUAACUUCGGGAAACCGGAGCUAAUACCGGAUAAUAUAUUGAACCGCAUGGUUCAAUAGUGAAAGACGGUUUUGCUGUCACUUAUAGAUGUAUCCGCGCCGCAUUAGCUAGUUGGUAAGGUAACGGCUUACCAAGGCAACGAUGCGUAGCCGACCUGAGAGGGUGAUCGGCGACACUGGAACUGAGACACGGUCCAGACUCCUACGGGAGGCAGCAGUAGGGAAGCGUGCGCAAUGGGCGAAAGCUUGACGGAGCAACGCCGCGUGAGUGAUGAAGGUCUUCGGAUCGUAAAACUCUGUUAUUAGGGAAGAACAAAUGUGUAAGUAACUAUGCACGUCUUGACGGUACCUAAUCAGAAAGCCACGGCUAACUACGUG